rnacentral:rRNA from 1 species
AUGAACGCUGGCGGCGUGCCUCAUACAUGCCAGUCGCGCGAACAGACGAGGAGCUUGCUCCUCUGACGUUAGCGGCGGACGGGUGAGUAACACGUGGAUAACCUACCUAUAAGACUGGGAUAACUUCGGGAAACCGGAGCUAAUACCGGAUAAUAUAUUGAACCGCAUGGUUCAAUAGUGAAAGACGGUUUUGCUGUCACUUAUAGAUGGAUCCGCGCCGCAUUAGCUAGUUGGUAAGGUAACGGCUUACCAAGGCAACGAUGCGUAGCCGACCUGAGAGGGUGAUCGGCCACACUGGAACUGAGACACGGUCCAGACUCCUACGGGAGGCAGCAGUAGGGAAUCUUCCGCAAUGGGCGAAAGCUUGACGGAGCAACGCCGCGUGAGUGAUGAAGGUCUUCGGAUCGUAAAACUCUGUUAUUAGGGAAGAACAAAUGUGUAAGUAACUAUGCACGUCUUGACGGUACCUAAUCAGAAAGCCACGGCUAACUACGU